rnacentral:lncRNA from 1 species
UAUAUAUGUUCUGCACAAAGCAAAAACCAGCAGGCUUUGGGUGGGAAUAAGAAAUUAAGGAAAAGAAUUUUGCCUUAGCCCUUUCCCAGAGGCUGGACAAACAGCAUUAGCCUGAUGGCAGCUGUGGCUACUUACUCAUUGUCUCUUAAUUUUUUUCAUCAUAUUAACAAUGUGGGGUUUGUUUUUUAGGCCAUCUGUAAAUCUUCUAGUUUUCUCUGAAUUCCUUCCCAAUGCAUUUCUAGGAAUGUGAGAUCUGAGCAAGAUCUGUGUGUUGUCCCUAAGGCGCUGGGCUGAGCUGGGAUUACUUUCUCACGGGUUCUUCACAGAAGCAAAUGCUUUCCAACAGCAUCACUGAGUUUAGGAUCAGGUUCGCCCUAUGGGGCUCAGGCAUGCUGCUGGACCAUCACAGCCGAGGGAGUCAUUCUUCUUUCCUCUGCUUGGGACCCUGGCUGGCAAUCAGCCCUGCACCAGCACUGUGUAGGACUAUGCUGGAUCAUCUGUGGGUGAGUCUGCAACGCAGAGGACAUCUGUCACUUCCCUAGAAUCAGAGCUGCCAGAAGGGAAGAAAUCUGUGGGAAGACCAAGACCAUGGAAGCUCCAUGUCCUGGCAGAGGCUAUGUGAAAAGGGCUGUGAGGUUUUUUUUGGUCUUUGGCAAGUUGGUCCUGCCAUUCUGUCCUGUGUUUCAGAUUGUUAAGACUGCUUGUCCUGUCAGAACUACCAACUAUAACUAGACCAUUCACUGGAUUUAAACAUUUUCAAGUGUUUACAACCACAUCUCUUCCCCAGGGGGAUCUCUGAACUGUGCUGCUUGAUGUAUUGUCUUUGGCGAGCUCUAUAGAGUUCCUGAAUUUAUGCACUUAAAAAUCAAUGAGCCUUGGUUAGACAAGAACCCAAACACUGUGACUCCACCCAUAGGAUUUCACAGGGAUUAAGAGAGAUAUAAAUAAACCUUGCUUCUGCAGCCUUUAAAGUCUCUAU